rnacentral:rRNA from 1 species
GACGAACGCUGGCGGCGUGCUUAACACAUGCAAGUCGAACGGAAAGGCCCUGCUUUUGUGGGGUGCUCGAGUGGCGAACGUGUGAGUAACACGUGUGUAACCUGCCCUUGACUUUGGGAUAACUUCAGGAAACUGGGGCUAAUACCGGAUAGGAGCUCCUUCUGCCUGUUGGUGGUUGGAAAGUUUCGGCGGUUGGGGAUGGACUCGCGGGUUAUCAGCUUGUUUGUUGGGUAGUGGCUUACCAUGGCUUUGACGGGUAGCCGGACUGGGAGGGUGACCGGAGACAAGGGGACUGAGAUAGGGAACAGAAGGCAACGGGAGGAAGAAGGGGGGAAUAUAGAAAAAUGGGAGGAAGACUGAUGAAGCAAAGCAGCGUGCGGGAUGACGGCCUUCGGGUUGUAAACAGAUUUCGACUGUGACGAAGAGUGAGUGACGGUAAUGGGUAAAGAAGGACCGGCUAACUACGUG